rnacentral:rRNA from 1 species
AACGAACGCUGGCGGCAUGCCUAACACAUGCAAGUCGAACGAGACCUUCGGGUCUAGUGGCGCACGGGUGCGUAACGCGUGGGAACCUGCCCUUAGGUUCGGAAUAACUCCCCGAAAGGGGUGCUAAUACCGGAUAAUGUCUUCGGACCAAAGAUUUAUCGCCUUUGGAUGGGCCCGCGUUGGAUUAGCUAGUUGGUAGGGUAAAAGCCUACCACGGCGACGAUCCAUAGCUGGUCUGAGAGGAUGAUCAGCCACACUGGGACUGAGACACGGCCCAGACUCCUACGGGAGGGAGCAGUGGGGAAUAUUGGACAAUGGGCGAAAGCCUGAUCCAGCAAUGCCGGGUGAGUGAUGAAGGCCUUAGGGUUGUAAAGCUCUUUUACCCGGGAUGAUAAUGACAGUACCGGGAGAAUAAGCUCCGGCUAACUCCGUG